AGUCCAUAGUGUGGACAACAUUGCAGUAGGUCCUUGUACCUCUCCCAAGUGUCAUACAUCGACUCAUCAUCAAACUACACAAAAGAAGAUAUGUCAUUUCUAAGUUU
rnacentral:snoRNA from 1 species